rnacentral:rRNA from 1 species
UCCACGCCGUAAACGAUGAGAGCUAGAUGUUGCGGGUAUUGACCCCUGCAGUGUCGCAGCUAACGCAUUAAGCUCUCCGCCUGGGGAGUACGGUCGCAAGAUUAAAACUCAAAGGAAUUGGACGGGGGCCCGCACAAGCGGUGGAGCAUGUGGUUUAAUUCGACGCAACGCGCAGAACCUUACCUGGGUUUAAAC